UGAGGGUCUCCUAACAGCAGGAGCAGGGGCUGUGUCUGAUUCUGUUGCCUGCCUUUGGAUCCCUUUCCCC
ensembl:miRNA predicted gene, 25748